rnacentral:ribozyme from 13 species
ACUGGAAGGAGAGGAACGUCUGCCCGACAGCGAAUAACGACAGGUAACAGCCGAAGAGCGCGACCCACACGAGCGCG